CUACGGGAGGCAGCAGUGGGGAAUACCUACCAGAGGCAGCAGUGGGGAAUCUUAGACAAUGGGCGCAAGCAUGAUCUAGCCAUGCCGCGUGUCUGAUGAAGCUCUUAGGAUCGUAAAGCACUUUCGCCAGGGAUGAUAAUGACAGUACCUGGUAAAGAAACCCCGGCUAACUCCGUGCCAGCAGCCGCGGUAAUACGGAGGGGGUUAGCGUUGUUCGGAAUUACUGGGCGUAAAGCGUACGUAGGCGGAUUGGAAAUUUGGGGGUGAAAUCCCAGGGCUCAACCCUGGAACUGCCUCCAAAACUAUCAUUCUAGACUUCGAGAGAGGUGAGUGGAAUUCCAAGUGUAGAGGUGAAAUUCAUAUAUAUUUGGAGGAACACCAGUGGCGAAGGCGGCUCACUGGCUCGAUACUGACGCUGAGGUAGGAAAGUGUGGGGAGCAAACAGGAUUAGAUACCCUGGUAGUCCACACCGUAAACGAUGAAUGCCAGUCGUCGGGCAGUAUACUGUUCGGUGACACACCUAACGGAUUAAGCAUUCCGCCUGGGGAGYACGGUCGCAAUAUUAAAACUCAAAUGAAU
rnacentral:rRNA from 1 species